CUAGUGAGUUACCCAUAAUGCCAAGGUUCCCUGAAUGGUAAGAACCACUGCUCCACCCACUUCUUCAAUACAUUUCCCUUUCACGCUCCUUUCCUCAGUCGAGGCCCUCCAAGCCUCCAUUUCUUUGUGUUUGUAAGUACAUGUUGCUGUGGGAGUGUGCUUGUGUAUAUGUACAGUGUGUGUGUGACAGUUGUGUGUUGCUGUGGGGGUGUGCAUGUGUAUAUUACAGUAUGUGUGUGUGGCAGUUGUGUGUUGCUUUGGGGUGUGCUUGUGUAUAUGUACAGUGUGUGUGUGACAGUUGUGUGUUGCUGUGGGGGUG
rnacentral:lncRNA from 1 species